UGAGGAAUAUUGGGCAAUGCCCGCAAGGGUGACCCAGCAACGCCGCGUGGAGGAUGAAUGUCGUAAGAUUGUAAACUCCUGUUAGAGGGGAAGAAUAGUACCGGUUGGACCGGUAUAUGACUGUACCCUCAGAGAAAGCCCCGGCUAACUACGUGCCAGCAGCCGCGGUAAUACGCAGGGGGCAAGCGUUGUCCGGAUUUACUGGGUGUAAAGGGCGCGCAGGCGGGAUAAAAAGUCAGUGGUGAAAUCCUACAGCUUAACUGUAGAACGGCCUUUGAUACUUUUAUUCUUGAGUUCGCGACAGAGAGACGGAAUUCCAGGUGUAGUGGUGAAAUACGUAGAUAUCUGGAAGAAGACCAGUUGCGAAGGCGGUCUCUUGGUCCGACACUGACGCUGAGGCGCGAAAGCGUGGCGAGCAAACA
rnacentral:rRNA from 1 species